rnacentral:rRNA from 1 species
CCAAGGAGACUAACAUGUGCGCGAGUCACUCGGUCUUGAAUAGGCCAGAGAGGCGCAAUGAAAGUAAAGUUGAUUGAGUUACGAUCCCUAUGCAGUCACUCGUAUGGGUGACGGUGGGGCGCAGUAACAGCCCGCCAAUUUCGCUUAUUGACGAUAKGGCGGAGUUGUAGCGUACACGUUGGUACCCGAAAGAUGGUGAACUAUGCCUGGGCAAGACGAAGCCAGAGGAAACUCUGGUGGAGGUCUGUAGCGAUUCUGACGUGCAAAUCGAUCGUCAGACCUGGGUAUAGGGGCNAAAGACUAAUCGAACCAUC